rnacentral:rRNA from 1 species
ACUCCUACGGGAGGCAGCAGGCGCGAAAACUUUACAAUGCUGGCAACAGCGAUAAGGGAACCUCGAGUGCCAGGUUACAAAUCUGGCUGUCGAGAUGCCUAAAAAGCAUUUCAUAGCAAGGGCCGGGCAAGACCGGUGCCAGCCGCCGCGGUAACACCGGCGGCUCGAGUGGUAACCGUUAUUAUUGGGUCUAAAGGGUCUGUAGCCGGCCGGAUAAGUCUCUUGAGAAAUCUGGCAGCUUAACUGUCAGGCUUUCAGGAGAUACUGUCUGGCUCGAGGCCGGGAGAGGUGAGAGGUACUUCAGGGGUAGGGGUGAAAUCUUGUAAUCCUUGAAGGACCACCAGUGGCGAAGGCGUCUCACCAGAACGGACCUGACGGCAAGGGACGAAAGCUAGGGGCACGAACCGGAUUAGAUACCCAGGUAGUCCCAGCCGUGAACGAUACUCGCUAGGUGUCGGCCACGGUGCGACCGUUGUCGGUGCCGUAGGGAAGCCGUGAAGCGAGCCACCUGGGAAGUACGGCCGCAAGGCUGAAACUCAAAGGAAUUGACGG